UUUGGGGGUCCGGAAUGGAUUCCCAAAGGUCCGGAAUGGAUUUUGGGGGGUCAGGAAUGGAUUCCCAGGGUCGGGGGUUCCCCCACAGCUCCAUGGCCACGGGGACGCCCCCUCGAGUCCUUUCCCCUCCUGUCCCGGUUCCGGAAGGUUCCCGGUUCCAAAGGGCUCCAGUUCAGAAGGGUCCCGGUUCUGGCUCCGGAAGGGUCCCAGUUCUGGAAGGUUCCAGGUUCUGGAAUGGUCCCGGUUCCAGAGGGUUCUGGAAGGUUCCUGGUCCCAGUUCUGACUCUAGAAAGGUCCCAGUUCCGGUGGUUUCCUGGUUCCGGUUGUUUCCAGUCCCAGUUCUGAUCCUGGUCCCAGUUCCAGUCCCAGUUCUGGUCCCAGUUCCAGUCCCAGUCCUGGUUCCGGUUCCAGUUUCAGUCCCGGUUCUGGAGGGCUCCGGUUCCAGUUAGUGUCCCAGUUCCAGUCCUGGUUUUGUUGUUUCUCAGUCCCAGUUCUGGUCCCGGUUCCAGUUCCAGAAAUUUCCCUGUUCUGGAGUUCUCCUGGUCCAGGUCCUGGUUCUGAU
rnacentral:lncRNA from 1 species